UACGUAGGCAGCAAGCGUUGUUCGGAGUUACUGGGCGUAAAGGGUGCGUAGGCGGCUUUUUAAGUUUGGUGUGAAAUCUCCUGGCUUAACCGGGAGGGUGCGCCGAAUACUGAGAAGCUAGAGUACGGGAGAGGAAAGUGGAAUUCCUGGUGUAGCGGUGAAAUGCGUAGAUAUCAGGAGGAACACCUGUGGUGUAGACGGCUUUCUGGACCGUAACUGACGCUGAGGAGCGAAAGCGUGGGGAGCGAACAGG
rnacentral:rRNA from 1 species